rnacentral:snRNA from 1 species
CGGAUCCCAUCAGAACUCCGCAG